GACAGAAGGAAUAUAGAAAAAUUGUUGCUAUCAGUCCUCCCAGGAGACCUAUCCAGCCGGAAUUCUCAAUCAACAAGUUGUCUUGGUCUCAGAAGUCAAGAUGCAAGUUAUGGAUGCCAGAGAGAAAUUCUGCUCCUAUGGCCAAUGUGUUCCACACGCACUGAUGACUCCUGGCUGUCGUCAAGAGCAUCCCCACUUGUCCGGGAGAGCACUGCACUAUCCCCUGAGUGCCACUGGACAAUGGCCAGAGGAGCAACAGGACUAGCCACGAAGAGGCAGAGCCAGCCCUUGAACAGGUGGUCAGGCAGCACCACGUGGGAUCUUAGCAUCAGCGCUGUCCUUUAGUGAAAGCACACGUCUUGUCCACCCGAGUUCAUGGACUGGAUUGUUCUACCGCAGCCUCCACAGUGGCUACUCUGCUACCGUUUUCUCAUGCCUGCUGUGGUUGCAAGACUAUUUCAAGAUUACUAUGUAACAGAAGAAGACAAGAUGGAACAGAAGAAGACGCAAAUCCAAUAAGAUACAAUGCCACAAAGCUCAUUGUUCUGACUAAAAUCCACCUGUUUUUCUUCAAUAAACACUCCUCAAAUUCU